rnacentral:rRNA from 1 species
GAUGAACGCUGGCGGUAUGCUUAACACAUGCAAGUCGAACGGUCUCUUCGGAGAUAGUGGCGGACGGGUGAGUAACGCGUGAGAAUCUGGCUCUAGGUCUGGGACAACCACUGGAAACGGUGGCUAAUACCGGGUGUGCCGAAAGGUGAAAGGUUAACUGCCUGGAGAUGAGCUCGCGUCUGAUUAGCUAGUUGGUAGGGUAAGAGCUUACCAAGGCGACGAUCAGUAGCUGGUCUGAGAGGACGAUCAGCCACACUGGGACUGAGACACGGCCCAGACUCCUACGGGAGGCAGCAGUGGGGAAUUUUCCGCAAUGGGCGAAAGCCUGACGGAGCAAUACCGCGUGAGGGAGGAAGGCUCUUGGGUUGUAAACCUCUUUUCUCAGGGAAGAAAAAUGACGGUACUUGAGGAAUAAGCAUCGGCUAACUCCGUGCCAGCAGCCGCGGUAAUACGGAGGAUGCAAGCGUUAUCCGGAAUGAUUGGGCGUAAAGCGUUCGCAGGUGGCAUUGAAAGUCUGCUGUUAAAGAGUCUGGCUCAACCAGAUACAGGCAGUGGAAACUACAAAGCUAGAGUGCGGUAGGGGCAGAGGGAAUUCCUGGUGUAGCGGUGAAAUGCGUAGAGUUCAGGAAGAACACCGGUGGCGAAAGCGCUCUGCUANGCCGCAACUGACACUGAGGGACGAAAGCUAGGGGAGCGAAUGGGAUUAGAUACCCCAGUAGUCCUAGCCGUAAACGAUGGAUACUAGGCGUUGCUUGUAUCSACCCGAGCAGUGCCGUAGCUAACGCGUUAAGUAUCCCGCCUGGGGAGUACGCACGCAAGUGUGAAACUCAAAGGAAUUGACGGGGGCCCGCACAAGCGGUGGAGUAUGUGGUUUWAUUCKAUGCAACGCGAARAACCUUACCAAGGCUUGACAUGUCCGGAAC